rfam:Acidobacteria bacterium 13_2_20CM_57_17 13_2_20cm_scaffold_16224, whole genome shotgun sequence.
GCGCCAGUAGCUCAGAUGGAUAGAGCAUUAGCCUCCGGAGCUAAGGGUCGGGGGUUCGAAUCCCUCCUGGCGCG